rnacentral:rRNA from 1 species
AGGGUUUUUGCGCAUCGGGCGGAAAGCCUCGACCCCGCCACGCCGCGUGGGUGAUGAAGGCCUUCGGGUUGUAAACCCCUUUCGGCCGGGACGAUAAUGACGGUACCUGUGAAUAAGCUGCGGCUGACUACCUGCCAGCAGGCCGCGGUAAUAAUAGCCUACCGCCGCCAUAAUAUAUAA